AACAGUGGGGCUGAUGUCCCCUCAUUUGAACCCUGAGAAACCUUUGUGAUGGCCUCAACCAAAAGAAUACACUAACGGCUGGGAAUGGGGCUCAUGCUUGUAAUCCCAGCACUUUGGGAGGCUGCGGCAGGAUGACCGCUUGGGCUCAGGAGUUCAAGGUUGUAGGGGGCUAUGGUGGCACCACUGCACUCUAACCUAAGCAACAAAACGACGCAGUCUUUAAAGCAACAAAUAAACAAAAAAAUACAGUCGAAAUGAUGCUUCUGAGGCCAGAGCACAAACAUGCCACACACUGCUACCUUGUUCUCUUAGGACUUGCCCUUGGAACCCAGCUGCCAUGCUGUGAGGAAGCCCAAACUAGCCCAACAGAGCUACCACACGGAGAGGACAUGGGUGUUUAGCUAACAUGCCAACUGAGUCCCAGCUGAUACCCAAGCUCAACCACUAGAUAUGUUGCUGCAAGAACAGAAUGGGACAUGCCCAGGUGAGCUGGGUGGGCUGCACGUGAAAGGGCAUGGCUGUGAUCUCAGCCCUAGGCCUCCUCGCCCAGGCUGAGGCUGACCCUGCCCUGCAACAGGUGGAAAAUGGAGCUCCUUUGUGAAAGCUGCCCGCCGGAAGGCCGAUGGGGUGACAAAGAACACGACAGGGCUCCUCCCCCAUCACUCAGAUCAACAGGUUCCCAUACUAACGACUUCUUACUCCUCCUCCUUUGGGUGUCUUUUCCUGAAAACUUCUAAUUUAUCCGCAUGUGGUUUCUAAAAUUAUGAUUAUUUUAGAGAAUCUGAAAAAAAAUCUUUACUAUAAUGAGCAAAAAAGUCUUUGUGACUUAUGUAAAUAAAGACUGAAAAUAGAGUGAUUUAGCUAUUUUCCAAGAUGCUUUAGAGAAGAAAUAAAAACGAUCUACAAAUCUCA